rnacentral:rRNA from 1 species
ACGAAGGUGGCAAGCGUUGCUCGGAAUCACUGGGCUUAAAGCGGGCGUAGGCGGUCCGGCAAGUCGGAUGUGAAAACCCUUGGCUCAACCAAGGAACUGCACCCGAUACUACCGGACUUGAGGUGCUGAAGGGCGACUGGAACUCUCGGUGGAGCGGUGAAAUGCGUAGAUAUCGAGAGGAACGCCAAUGGUGAAGACAGGUCGCUGGUGGCAUCCUGACGCUGAGGCCCGAAAGCUAGGGGAGCAAACGG